rnacentral:lncRNA from 1 species
CAGGAAAGUAAACACAAAUACGACUCCUGGUUUGCCACAAGCCCGGCCUCUGUAGUGAGAGAGCUGUGACUGCGUUUCCAGCUCCUUGAAGGCAGAGAGACUCCUGCCUUUCGGGGCGGGCGGGCUGGAACAAAGACACCAACGGGGCCACCUCGGAAAGUCUUUUUGAGCAGUUUCAGCAAAUAGCAUUUAAGGGAAGGGAAAAAAACUCCAAUGUACUCAAUAAGUGUGUACAGCAAAUUUCUGUUGUGCCUGGGAAGAAGGAAAUUUGAGUUAAAGAGGAGGCCCGCUCCAUAUGCCUUGUCACAAGUACACUCACUGAAACAUUAAUUCACGAAGAGAUUGCAACAAGACCAAAACGAAAGAGGAACAGGGCCUGACAAUGUUCAGAGAAGGAAAACCGAAGAAGUAACCAUCCCCAAGUUAAAAAUGACGUGGGGAUGAAAAAAUAGGUUGCCUGUUGUAUUUGUCAUUGAAAUGCACAAUCUUGUUUACUGUUUAUCUUGAGACUCUGGGAGCUCUCCUGCUGCUUAGGAAAAAAGAGGCAAAGGUUUAGGAAGAAAUGCUAGUCAUAAGAAAGAGAGGCAUUAGAAACCCUAGAGAGAAUGGGAGGUGUAAAUAGUAUGUGGGCAUUUGGCAAUCACCACAAAGAAAUGGGAGACAAAGGCAAGUGUCUGAUGCCAGAAAUCCUAAAAACUUGAGUGGAAAACCCAGACACAAUAAAAAUGUCCAAAAGAAAAAAAAGGCAAAAUCCCAUGAGAUCUUUUUUUUUCUCUGUGAUGUUACCUAAUGGAGAAAAUAAAGGUGGGUUUUGCCACAGUGAUCAUGGUGCCGUAUCCUAAAGGAAGUAGCUUCAUGAUAAGCCUUCAGAGGCUCUCUCCAGGCCAGCCCCAGCCUUAGGACAAAAUGGGACAAUCUUGGGGGACAAUUUCUUUCUCCAAAAAGGGGAUGAGAUUGGGCAGAAGAAACACUUGCAGGGCAGAGUUAUUAUCUCUCUCCCCGAAGAGUUUAAUCAAUUGUGG